AUUGAACGCUGGCGGCAUGCUUUACACAUGCCAGUCGAACGGUAACAGGCCUUCGGGUGCUGACGAGUGGCGAACGGGUGAGUAAUGCAUCGGAACGUGCCCAGAGGUGGGGGAUAACGCAGCGAAAGCUGUGCUAAUACCGCAUGUGAUCUGAGGAUGAAAGCGGGGGACCAAGCAGCAAUGUUUGGCCUCGCGCCUCUGGAGCGGCCGAUGUCAGAUUAGGUAGUUGGUGGGGUAAAGGCCUACCAAGCCGACGAUCUGUAGCUGGUCUGAGAGGACGACCAGCCACACUGGGACUGAGACACGGCCCAGACUCCUACGGGAGGCAGCAGUGGGGAAUUUUGGACAAUGGGCGCGAGCCUGAUCCAGCAAUGCCGCGUGCGGGAAGAAGGCCUUCGGGUUGUAAACCGCUUUUGUACGGAACGAAAAGGCUCUGGCUAAUACCUGGGGCUGAUGACGGUACCGUAAGAAUAAGCACCGGCUAACUACGUG
rnacentral:rRNA from 1 species